GACGAACGCUGGCGGCGUGCCUAAUACAUGCAAGUCGAGCGAAGUUUUUCUGGUGCUUGCACUAGAAAAACUUAGCGGCGAACGGGUGAGUAACACGUAAAGAACCUGCCUCAUAGACUGGGACAACUAUUGGAAACGAUAGCUAAUACCGGAUAACAGCAUUAACUGCAUGGUUGAUGUUUAAAAGUUGGUUUUGCUAACACUAUGAGAUGGCUUUGCGGUGCAUUAGCUAGUUGGUGGGGUAAAGGCCUACCAAGGCGACGAUGCAUAGCCGACCUGAGAGGGUGAUCGGCCACACUGGGACUGAGACACGGCCCAGACUCCUACGGGAGGCAGCAGUAGGGAAUCUUCCGCAAUGGGCGAAAGCCUGACGGAGCAACGCCGCGUGAGUGAAGAAGGAUUUCGGUUCGUAAAGCUCUGUUGUUAGGGAAGAAUGAUUGUGUAGUAACUAUACACAGUAGAGACGGUACCUAACCAGAAAGCCACGGCUAACUACGUGCCAGCCGCCGCCGUAACAC
rnacentral:rRNA from 1 species